rnacentral:rRNA from 1 species
GACAGAGGUGCCGAGCGUUAGGCGGAAUCACUGGGCUUAAAGCGUGUGUAGGCGGACUUCUAAGUACCUUGUGAAAUCCCACGGCUCAACCGUGGAACUGCUUGGUAUACUGGUUGUCUUGAGCCACUUAGGGGCAGUCGGAACAGACGGUGGAGCGGUGAAAUGCGUAGAUAUCGGAAAGAACACCAACGGCGAAAGCACUCUGCUGGGCCGACACUGACACUGAGAGACGAAAGCUAGGGGAGCAAAUGGG